ensembl:misc_RNA Metazoa_SRP Metazoan signal recognition particle RNA
GCCAGGCGUGGUGGCUCACGCCUGUAAUCCCAGCGCUUUGGGAGGCCGAGGUGGGUGGAUCACCUGAGGUCAGGAGUUUGAGACCAGCCUGGCCAACAUGGUGAAACCCCAUCUCUA